GACAGAGGGUGCAAACGUUGCUCGGAAUUACUGGGCGUAAAGCGCGUGUAGGCGGACCGAAAAGUCAGGUGUGAAAUCCCUGGGCUCAACCCAGGAACUGCACAUGAAACUGCCGGUCUCGAGUGUCGGAGAGGGAAGCGGAAUUCCUGGUGUAGAGGUGAAAUUCGUAGAUAUCAGGAGGAACACCGGUGGCGAAGGCGGCUUCCUGGAAGAUUACUGACGCUGAGACGCGAAAGCGUGGGGAGCAAACAGG
rnacentral:rRNA from 1 species